AUGCGUCCACGAAUCAUUCCCCUGAUCGCUACCCUCGCCCGCUCGCAGUCGCCGCACCCCAAAUCCACAGGGCCAUCCCCAUCCAGAUCCAGGCGUCGAUGCUGCGCCGCCAGCCCACCCGCAUCGACCUCCGCAGCUCCGACCGCGACGAGCUCGAGGAGCACCUCCGCUCCAAGGCCGCCGCCGCCGCCGCCGCCGCCAAGUCCGCCGCCGAAUCCACCCCACUCUCGACCCCGCGCCCGUCCAACCCCAUCUCCAACCCGCUCCUCCGCCUCCUCCACCCGCCGCCCGACGCCGCGCCCUCCAAGGCCCAGCGCAUCGGCCUCCACCCCCCGCCCCCCCAGCCCUAGCCGCACCCCCACCCCCAUGGAGGUCGAGAUCAAGCUCCGGCUCCCGGACGCGGCCGCGCACGGGCGCCUCUCCUCCUUCCUCGCGCCCCGCCUGCUCCGCACCGACGCCCAGCGCAACGUCUUCUUCGACGCCCCCGCGCGGCCCCUCGCCGCCGCCACCGCCGCGCUCCGCGUCCGCCUCUACGGCCCCGACGACCGCGCCCCCUCCCGCGCCGUCCUCGCGCUCAAGCGCCGCCCGCGCAUCCACGCCGGCGUCAGCCGCGUCGAGGAGGUCGAGGAGCCCCUCGACCCCGCCCUCGCCCUCGCCUGCCUCGACGACCCCGCUCGCCUCGCCGCCGUCGACUCCCCCAUCGUCCGGCUCGUCUCCGACGAGUACGGCGUCGGCGGGGACAGAGCGCCGUUCGUCUGCCUCGGCGGGUUCCGGAACACCCGCGGCGUGUAUGAGCUCGGGGAGGGCGAGGGGCAGGGGCUCGUGCUGGAGCUCGACGAGACGCACUUCGAUUUCGGCACCAACUACGAGCUGGAGUGCGAGACCGCGGAGCCCGACCAGGCCAAGGAGGUCCUCGAGCGGCUGCUCACGGUGGCUGGGGUGCCGUAUGAGUACUCCCGGAGCAAUAAGUUCGCGUGCUUCAUGGCCGGGAAGCUGCUUCCAUGA
rnacentral:rRNA from 1 species